GCAGUCGCCACGGGAAUACGAAGGGUGCAAGCGUUACUCGGAAUUACUGGGCGUAAAGCGUGCGUAGGUGGUGGUUUAAGUCCGUUGUGAAAGCCCUGGGCUCAACCUGGGAAUUGCAGUGGAUACUGGGUCACUAGAGUGUGGUAGAGGAUAGUGGAAUUUCCGGUGUAGCAGUGAAAUGCGUAGAGAUCGGAAGGAACAUCUGUGGCGAAGGCGACUAUCUGGGCCAACACUGACACUGAGGCACGAAAGCGUGGGGAGCAAACAGGAUUAGAUACCCCCGUAGUCCCUGUCUCUUAUAC
rnacentral:rRNA from 1 species